rnacentral:rRNA from 1 species
GACGAACGCUGGCGGCGUGCUUAACACAUGCAAGUCGAACGGAAAGGCCCUGCUGUUGUGGGGUGCUCGAGUGGCGAACGGGUGAGUAACACGUGAGUAACCUGCGCUUGACUUUGGGAUAACUGCAGGAAACUGGGGCUAAUACCGGAUAGGAGCGCCUGCUGCUUGGUGGGGGUUGGAAAGUUUCGGCGGGUGGGGAUGGACUCGCGGCUUAUCAGCUUGUUGGUGGGGUAGUGGCUUACCAAGGCUUUGACGGGUAGCCGGCCUGAGAGGGUGACCGGCCACAUUGGGACUGAGAUACGACCCAGACUCCUACGGGAGGCAGCAGUGGGGAAUAUUGCACAAUGGGCGGAGGCAUGAUGCAGCAACGCCGCGUGCGGGAUGACGGCCUUCGGGUUGUAAACCGCUUUCGCCUGUGACGAAGCGUGAGUGACGGUAAUGGGUAAAGAAGCACCGGCUAACUACGUG